rnacentral:rRNA from 1 species
GACGAACGCUGGCGGCGUGCUUAACACAUGCAAGUCGAACGGAAAGGCCCUGCUUUUGUGGGGUGCUCGAGUGGCGAACGGGUGAGUAACACGUGAGUAACCUGCCCUUGACUUUGGGAUAACUUCAGGAAACUGGGGCUAAUACCGGAUAGGAGCUCCUGCUGCAUGGUGGGGGUUGGAAAGUUUCGGCGGUUGGGGAUGGACUCGCGGCUUAUCAGCUUGUUGGUGGGGUAGUGGCUUACCAAGGCUUUGACGGGUAGCCGGCCUGAGAGGGUGACCGGCAAAAUUGGGACGGGGAUACGCCCAGACUCCUACGGGAGGCAGCAGUGGGGAAUAUUGCACAAUGGGCGGAAGCCUGAUGCAGCAACGCCGCGUGCGGGAUGACGGCCUUCGGGUUGUAAACCGCUUUCGCCUGCGACGAAGCGUGAGUGACGGUAAUGGGUAAAGAAGCACCGGCUAACUACGUG